rnacentral:rRNA from 1 species
GAUGAACGCUGGCGGCGUGCCUAAUACAUGCAAGUCGAGCGAACAGACGAGGAGCUUGCUCCUCUGACGUUAGCGGCGGACGGGUGAGUAACACGUGGAUAACCUACCUAUAAGACUGGGAUAACUUCGGGAAACCGGCGCUAAUACCGGAUAAUAUAUUGAACCGCAUGGUUCAAUAGUGAAAGACGGUUUUGCUGUUACUUAUAGAUGGAUCCGCGCCGCAUUAGCUAGUUGGUAAGGUAACGGCUUACCAAGGCAACGAUGCGUAGCCGACCUGAGAGGGUGAUCGGCCACACUGGAACUGAGACACGGUCCAGACUCCUACGGGAGGCAGCAGUAGGGAAUCUUCCGCAAUGGGCGAAAGCCUGACGGAGCAACGCCGCGUGAGUGAUGAAGGUCUUCGGAUCGUAAAACUCUGUUAUUAGGGAAGAACAAAUGUGUAAGUAACUAUGCACGUCUUGACGGUACCUAAUCAGAAAGCCACGGCUAACUACGUG